rnacentral:rRNA from 1 species
GUCUUAUUGAUUAAAAUAAUAAGUUUAUUCUGCCCAUUGAAAUUAAUUUUAAAAGGCUGCAGUAUAUUAACUGUACAAAGGUAGCAAAAUCAAUAGUUUUUUAAUUGAAAACUUGAAUGAAAGAAUUAAUAAAAUAUAUUCUGUCUCAGAUUUAAUUUAUAAAAUUUAAAUAAAAAGUUAAAAUGCUUUUAUUAAUUUAUUAGACGAUAAGACCCUAAGAAUUUAAUAAAAUUAAUUUAUUAUUUAAUUUUGUGAAUAUAUAAAAAAUUAAAUUAAUUUUUUUUUAUUGGGAGGGUAAUUAAAUUUAUUAACUUUAAUUAUUAAUUAACAUUGAUAAAUGAUUAAUUUAUGAUAAUAUUAAUAAUUAUAAGAAUAAAUUACCUUAGGGAUAACAGCGUAAUAAUUUUGGAGAGUUCAUAUUAAUAAAAUUGAUUGCGACCUCGAUGUUGAAUUAAAAUAAAAAUUAAGUGAAGAAGCUUAAAAUUUUAGUCUGUUCGACUAUUAAAAUUUUACA